rnacentral:rRNA from 1 species
AGUGAACGCUGGCGGUAGGCUUAACACAUGCAAGUCGAACGGCAGCACAGUAAUUGCUUGCUCUUACGGGUGGAGUGUGGUGGACGGGUGGGGAAUACAUCGGAAUCUACUUUUUCGUGGGGGAUAACGUAGGGAAACGUACGCUAUUACCGCAUAUGACGUACGGGUGAAAGCAGCGGAUCUUCGGACCUUGCGCGAUUGAAUGAGCCGAUGUCGGAUUAGCUAGUUGGCGGGGUAAUGGCCGACUAAUGCGACGAUCCGUAGCUGGUCUGAGAGUAAGAUCAGCCACACUGGAACUGAGACUGAGUCCAGACUCCUACGCGAGGCAGCAGUGGGGAAUAUUAGACGAGGGGGGCGAGCGUAAUCCAGCCAUACCGCGUGAGUGAAGAGGGCGUUCGGGUUCGAGAGCCCAUUUGUUGGGAAAGAAGAGCAGCAGGUUAAUACGGCACUGUUCUGACGGUACCCGAAGAAGAAGCACCGGCUAACUACGUG